ACAAUCGGCAGCCAAACCCAAAAACCGCGAUCUAGUCUCUGCGAUCCACAACCCUCGACCGAUCCGGAAUACUCCAUUGGCGUCAUGCACUGAACCACCUAUGUCACUGUCCCAUUAUUUCUAGCAGCAUUGUGGCAUCCUCCGUCGACGCCACCAUCAUUAUUUCCGGCAGCAUUGCAACACCUGUUCAGUGGCAUCCUCCGUCGACAUCGUUGGUCUCAAUUGUUGCUUCUGCACUCCUGAUAAUCCUACGUGCAUCGAGUGUUUUUAUUUAUCCAAAAUCAAUAGAGUAAUUUCUGAAGGAAUUUCAGAAAGGAGAAUCAAAUUCACGAGGUAUUUGGAUUCCCAGGCCUUUUCUUCCUCCUUUUAGCAUUGUAUUUAUUGAUCUCUCAUUUAGGUACACGUGGCAAGCAUGUAGUAGAUCUGAACCCGUCAUUUGUUGGGUCCUACACUGGAUGGGCUAACCCCUGAUAAUCAUACUUAUUGAGGAGUCACAGCCACUGAUUGUAGGAUUUUUUAGUUUUCAAAUUUAGAUGGUUAGAUGAAGGUCCAAUUAAUGGUGAAAUUAAAUUUCCGCCAGUUAGCUGUUUGGAUUGUCUGACUUGUGUGAUUUUUGGUGUAUGGCCUUUCAACUGUGAGGCACAACAGAUGAAUGACCUGGAUCUUAUACAUGUGUGCCUCGUCAAGUGAGAAUCUAUUGGACAGCUUGGAAUAGCAUCCGUAGUUGCAUAUGGCAUGCCAUUUACAUCAGCUUGGAUUAGGCAGUGCGAAUGCUUAAUGGGUGGCUGCAUGACUCUGUGAGUGAUGGGCAUAUUUAAAGAUUUCACUAUAUGUUGCUUGAGAUGAAUUGCAAUGUAUCUGAUCAUAAUUCUGCAGUUUUUGUCAACUAAUUUGAAUAGAGAAUCUAGUAAGUUCUUAUCUUUAACCUAUAAUUAUAUGGUUUUGUUCUCAAAAUGGAAGGCAGUGCCCUGUCAACUGAAUAGAAGAUAUAAUUUUUCCUUUUUAUAUUAUAGUUUUCUGAUGAUAUUAAAAAACAAAAAUUGGACAGCUAAAAGCAAUUGACAGAAGUGAUUCUUACUGGGGAAUAUUCUGGUCCCCAAGUCAUAUGCUCUGAGAUGAUUCUUACUGGGGAAACUAUAUGCAGGUAUUCAAACGUACACUGAUGCUAGGCAUUUUGCCAUAUCUGCACAGAUACCGAAGUUCAGCAACAAGAACAGAACUCUGAUUCUCCAAUACUCUAUAAAAUUUGAGCAGGAAAUCGAAUGUGGUGGUGGUUACAUAAAACUUCUUUCAAGUUGUGUCAAUCAGAAGAAAUUUGGUGGUGAUACUCCCUACAGCCAUGUAUGAAGAUUCAAUUUAGAGUCUCAUCUUUUGCAAUUCACUUACUUGAGAAGGGAACACAGGUUAGUUUCUUCUUCUAUAUCACAGGAUUGUACCAAUAAAAAACCAAAAAAAGAAAAAGAAAAAAGAAAAAAAAGAAAAAGAAAAGAAGACAAGCUGAUACAAAUGCACUUAGAAAUUGUAUGUGUCAUAUGUAGGCCCAAAUAAAACCAACUAAUUGUGCAGCCCCCACUGUUCUCAAGUUACAAGACCAAGAUCAGAUUGGUUGAACAAUCCUAACCUCUGAUUUGUGGACACUUGUUUGUGAGAACAGGACCAUUGGAUAUUUUUAUUUUUAACCAUCCAAUCAAUUUGUGGGAAGAGCUAAGAUUAUGAUGAUGAUAAAAGACAUUUUCUGAAAUAUCUGAAAAUUUCAAUGAUAAUUAUCUGGUGCCAAGGGAGAUUUGACGUUGCAGGGCUUCACAGUACGUAAGGAAUUACUGGAUAAAGUUGCGAUUUUUUUUUUCCAUGGUCAGCCUGCAGAGCUCAAGCAUGGUAGUGUCAUUAUGGCAGCCAUCACCAGCUGCACAAAUUCGUCAAAUCUGAUCCAUACCUUAUUUUUCUUCCUUUUUCAGACUUUAAGUUAUCUUCCACUUCUUACUCUUUUAAGUCUUAACCCAUGAUGCAUGACUAGAUUCACUUGAAUGCAUAUUCAGUGUUGAGAUAACAGUUUAUUAACUUGAAUCCCUUCUUGAUCAGGUUAAACCUUAGAUUAAGACAAGUCUUGAUCCAAAUUCCGGUGUUGUUACCAAAUAUCUCCAUAAGAGUGGGCUGCAAAAGUAUUUGGAUCAACAAGGUUUCCACAUUGUUGGUUAUGGCUGCACUACAUGUAUUGGGAAUUCUAGUGAUCUUGAUGAGUCAGUCUAUUCUGCAAUUUCAGAAAAUGGUAGGCGUGAAAUACAUGUGAAUUUCAGAUAAUAGCCACACUACAUGUAUAGGGGUUUGUUUGGUUGCACCAAACAUCAUGAAAUUCAUAAUUAAUCAAUCUACUUUGUUGCAGAUUUUCAUGAUAUUUGGUGUAACCAAACAAUACUUUCAAUCUAAAGAACUUAAAGAAUGGCAUGUGGGUAAACCUACAACUGAUUUUUGUUGAUCAGUUCCUCCAUUUGUGAUUGUUCUUUGAUCUAAUCUUUGAAUGUUGAGCCUUCCUCUUGAAUCUGAUUUGGGUUUGUAGGAGAAAAUAAUGAUUGUCAAUUCAUGUUCAACAUACAUUCAUGACCCAUCUGAUGAGCAGACCUGCCUGAUUUUUGGUCCAGGGCAUGUUCACAAUAUCCCCACUUGAUGAAUGGUCCAGACAUCUCGCACAUGCCAUAUUCACAAGUGUUCCACAAAGAUCUUCUCCGUUAUUCUUUGCAUGAAUCUUAUAAAUCUACUUCCCAACAGUUGAAACAUAUGGGUCAUAAUUUUCCAAUUUUACAUCCUUUGGUAGAUUGCUUAUCCUCGCCUAGUUGGUUCUACAGUGCUCUCAACAUUCAAACAGGUUCUAAUGGGUCCGUGGAAAUAGAGAGGCUCACUGAUGUGGCAAUAACUGAUUUUAUGCAAGCAAGUCGGUGGUAUGCUAAGGGGAGAAGAGCCUGAUCUAUAUUGUGGACGAAUGUCAACGAGGUAUCUAGCAGAUCUCAUUGGUGGGGUAUCAUGCUCCUGAGUUUACACAGUUCUUAUGUUGUAAUUUGGAUUGGCCAUUCUUUUCUCUCUUUAGUUUUGUGUAUGCAGCUUGACUAGAAUUAGCAUUGACAAGAAAGUGUAAUCACAUUCCUUACAGGCAUAUCCUCGGUUGAUGUUGGUCUUUGCUUACGCUAUGUUUGGAUGCAUUAUCGUAACUGAAUCGAAUUGCAAUAAUUAAUUCAGUAGAGAGGAAAUGAUCAAAUGCUGACAACCUCUGAAUUCAUAAUGAGGAAGUAGCCCCCCUCAAAUUGACAGCUAUAUAGCCUGCAUUCCUUUCAAAUCCAUCUUGAAACUCAUGUAAUUUUUCACUCUAAAAAAGAAGAAGAAGAGAGAACUCAUGUAGAAGUAAGUUGUUUACCUGUAAUCUGACAUAAGCUAUUAUGUAAAAACUUAUGAAUUAGAUCAUAUCAGUACUUAUCGUAUCAAUCCUUUGAGAUUCCAUUAGCAUGGAUGAUUUUGCACUGUGCAGCUUGCUUCUUUCUGCAUAUUGAGCAAAAAUUCAUUGUGUGAAGAGAUAUGGGCUUGUAAAUCUAACUGGUUGUGAUGCUUGUGUAUAGGUCCGCACCAUGAGAGUAGAGAAGCGCCUGAAUGAGAUAGUGAAUAGGUUGAACAAGACAGAAGUCGAAAGGAAGCCUGACUUCAAAGGUAUGAUGGUCUAUCCUAGAUUUCAUGUCCGAAGAUCAUAUAAAGAUUGUCUCUUGAUUCUUGACCUUCCGGUUGAUGAUGCUUGCAUUUCUGAGUCCAUCCUGAAAAUUUUAGUCUGUUAUGUUUUGAAGGGUGUAAACCUUUUUGUUGGCUUUUUGCAUAGUCAUGUCAGGAAGUUUUUAACUGAGGAUAUAGUCUUUGAUAGAGUGGGAUGGUGCAACUGGAUUAAUGUAGCUGACCCCAGUUAGAUGGGAUAAUAAGGCUUGAGUGAUGAUGAUGAUGAUGAUUUUUUUGUGGCAAUCAAAAGCCGAAAUACGGAUUCAGUGGAAUUAAUUUACUACCUUUUUUUCCCUGAUACAGAGGAAGCUUCCCUGAUGGAUCUUCUGAAUUUUAUGUACACUGAGAGUCUCAUGACGACUACAACUCCUGCAUUGUUGGAUGUGCUAAUGGCUGCAGACAAGUUUGAGGUUGCUUCAUGCAUGAGGUACUGUAACCAGUUGUUGAGGAAUUUGGUGAUGCAUUAGCUGUGAAUCCAUAAAAUCCAGAAAAAGCUAAUCCAUGGAGGUUUCCAUGAUAAUGCAAGACACAUCUCGCUGUUGACCAUCGACCUUGGUUUGAAAACCUAACCUACAGUGACACUUGUCCUUUCUCUGUUUCCACAUGGACCAACUCCCAGAGGGGGGUUUUCCACAUCCAGGUUUAGAUGUCACCAUACCCAAGCAGUCCCUAAGGAAACAAAUGAAUGUUCAUUUUGUUCUUUCUUCUUCUUUUCACUUUUCACUUUUCACCAUUUGAUACAACCGCACAAUGCUCUCUGGACGGGGGCUGUUUUGGGUCGA